UACGAAGGGGGCUAGCGUUGCUCGGAAUCACUGGGCGUAAAGGGCGCGUAGGCGGCUGAUUUAGUCGAGGGUGAAAGCCCCGUGGCUCAACCACGGAAUGGCCUUCGAUACUGGUUGGCUUGAGACCGGAAGAGGACAGCGGAACUGCGAGUGUAGAGGUGAAAUUCGUAGAUAUUCGCAAGAACACCAGUGGCGAAGGCGGCUGUCUGGUCCGGUUCUGACGCUGAGGCGCGAAAGCGUGGGGAGCAAACAGG
rnacentral:rRNA from 1 species